rnacentral:rRNA from 1 species
CCUACGGGGGGCAGCAGUGAGGAAUAUUGGGCAAUGCCCGAAAGGGUGACCCAGCAACGCCGCGUGGAGGAUGAAGGUCGUAAGAUUGUAAACUCCUGUUAGAGGGGACGAAUAACACCGAUCGACUCGGUGCUUGACUGUACCCUCAGAGAAAGCCCCGGCUAACUACGUGCCAGCAGCCGCGGUAAUACGUAGGGGGCAAGCGUUGUCCGGAUUCACUGGGUGUAAAGGGCGCGCAGGCGGGUUAGCAAGUCAGAGGUAAAAUCCUACAGCUAAACUGUAGAACUGCCUUUGAAACUGUUAAUCUUGAGUGCGGAAGAGAGAGACGAAAUUCAAGGUGUAGCGGUAAAAUGCGUAGAUAUCUGGAAGAACACCAGUUGCGAAGGCGGUCUCUUGGUCCGUUACUGACGCUCAGGCGCGAAAGCGGGGGGAGCAAACAGGAUUAGAUACCCUGGUAGU